GUUGAGAUGGCCGAGUUGGUCUAAGGCACCAGAUUAAGGUUCUGGUCCAAAAGGGCAUGGGUUCAAAUCCCACUCUAAACA
rnacentral:tRNA from 1 species